CAUAUAGUUUGGAGUAUGGACUGAGCGCGGAUGAAACAGAAACACCAUCGGCGCGUGGGAAACUAUAUCCGGAAUUGGGAGAUGACAACAAUCUCAUCCAAGACCCUGUUUUAUUAAUGUCAAAAGUCCUGACUGUUUCGCCUCUCUUAAUUCCACUUCUUAAGUUUACACAAGAUUCUGAAACCAAUUCCGUCCAUUGGCAAGUACCUAGAUAAGGAGAGAACAAGACGCGAGCUAAUGAACGUAUUAUCUUACAAAACAAUGAUGCCGGCCGGGAGAUGGAAUGAAACAGAUAAGAGGGAGAAUCUGUCCCCUAACUCGAACUUCAACCCCAGAAUUCUACCAACGACUUCAGAACAUGUUGAAGAGCAGCCCGAUUUAAGUCAAUAAAGCAGAAUGAUAUCGGAACCAA